CCCUAGUAUUAGGUUUUAUAUAUUAAUUAGUAUUUUGAAAAUUAAUAAUUUUGGUGGUUGAAUUUUAAAUUAGAGGAGCUUGUUUUGUGAGAAAUUACUCUUUAUAUUUAACUUUAUAGGGGUUUAUUCAUCUCCGUUAUUAAAAUUAAUUUGUUAAAAAUAAAUAUUUUGUAUUUCAGGUCAAGAUGUAGCUUUAUAUUAGAUAAGGAAAUUAGCUACUAUUAUAGAAUAAUGGAUUCUUUAAGGAAGAAUUUGAGGAUGAAAUUGAAUUUGGUUGUAAUUUUGUAAAUUAAAGGGUUAGGAUGAAUUUUAAUAGUUUGACAUA
rnacentral:rRNA from 1 species